UGCUCCUACGGGAGGCAGCAGUGGGGAAUAUUGCACAAUGGGGGAAACCCUGAUGCAGCACCGCCUCUUUCUUGAUGACGGCCUUCGGGUUGUAAAGCUCUGUCUUCAGGGACGAUAAUGACGGUACCUGAGGAGGAAGCCACGGCUAACUAGGUGCCAGCAGCCGCGGUAAUACGUAGGUGGCGAGCGUUGUCCGGAUUUACUGGGCGUAAAGGGAGCGUAGGCGGACUUUUAAGGGAG
rnacentral:rRNA from 1 species